AUUUGAUGACCACCUUGUUUCUGAAUGCCCCUUUGGUGAGAACUUUUAAUUUUUUAAUCAAGAUUUCCCAACGAAUAGCUGAAAAAAUGUUUUAAAAAUAACAAUCUUUGAACAAUUCCAGACGAAGUCACCAUAUCAGGUGCAACAGAAGCUUGUGCAUGCACCCCACCAAGCUGAAACUGUUCUUCUUCUUUGGCAAUCACUUGUAGCCGAGUAAGAUUGUCUUCCAUAAACACAGUUUUAACAAUGAGUCCGUAAGUGACUUCGGAGGCCAGUUCUGAAUCCACACGUCCUUCCACAGUGGGGACAUUGGUUUCCGGGCAGGAGCUGAUCACAGUGUGGAUUUGCCAAGCGUGCCUUCCUCCUAGCACGUUUCUCCCUUGCGUCCUGAGUUCGAGUGUCUUCAAAGUCCAUGACACCUUUGUUAAAGGCUGUUCUCCAACUGUGGAGUGCUCGCAGGCCAGUAUUUCCCAAUCGUUGGUGUUUAUACUACAUUUCUUAAGAUUUGCCUUGAGACAGUCUUUAAACCUCUUGUUGACCACCAGCAUUACGCUGAGACUGUAGGCAGAACAUGGCACAAAUCUUGCCAAAUCCAAUUAAACUGAAGAGCCAAUAAACAUCCCAGUGUAUUAAACCAUGGUAGAUUUGAGGGAACAGUAAUUAUAACUGAACAACUUUCAUAGUUUAUAAGGAUGGUUUUCAUAUUUUUUAUCAAAAAGUCAGCAUUACCCAUGUGGAAUUGUUAACACUAUUAUUUGGUGUUCAUGACAGUUAUGUUAAUGACAUGUGGCUAACUCUGAUUUUUUAAAAUAAUAUAUAUAUGAAAAUUGCCUUUAGGUGAAAAUAAUGCUAUUAUAAUGAUUUUAAGCUAUACCCCAUUGACAGAAGCCUGUCUUUCUUUUCCCCCCAGCAAAUGUCACAGGGGUAAGAAGAAGAAAUAGCCGCAGGUGCCGUAAUCUCAAAUACAGGAGCCCUAGAACUUGACCUCUGAUUUAAAUGAGGUGAAUCAGAAACCCUGUUGGUGGCUGAAUAUACUUUAGGUUUCACUUAUUAUUAAAAUUAUUGGCUUUGCAACCAAAAAGCAACACCAAGCUCGAAGGGUUGUUAUGCAUACCCUGCCCUCUCAAGUGGUGCAUAUAAUAGAGAAGCCACUGCACUUGUGCUCAAGGUUUGAUUCCACAGGAGGCUGCAUCACACCACGUGGAAUUGCUUGGCCGUGCAACGUUUUGCAGUACGGUACUCCCUUCUGGGCAACCUGUGGUGGGCGGAGCCAGAGGCAAGAGUGGGGGCAGAGCAGCAAGGGUAAAGGUUACCUUUGUACAUUCACUUUUAUACACACACACACACACACACACACACACACACACACUCCUCUGUCCAGGCAAGCAAAAAAGCAUUAACAAAGUUCAAGGGCACCUUCUAAUCAGGCAAAACCAGUCAACAAGGGUGCAGUAGAGAGGCAGUGAGUUAUGUGGUCUGGGGACAGGGUGUUCCUAAGAGCUAUAUUAAGAGGCCUGUCUAGACCUAUCCCCUGGGUUUAAGCUUCCCCACACCGAUCUGUUGUUGUUGUUUAAUCGUUUAGUCGUGUCCGACUGUUCGUGACCCUAUGGACCAGAGCACACCAGGCACUCCUGUCUUCCACUGCCUCCUGCAGUUGGGCCAAACUCAUGCUGGUAGCUUUGAGAACACUGUCGAACCAUCUUGUCCUCUGUCGUCCACUUUUCCUUGUGCCCUCAAUCUUUCCCAACAUCAGGGUCUUUUCCAGGGUCUUCUCAACACAGUCUUCUCUUCUCAUGAGGUGGCCAAAGUAUUGGAGCUUCAGCUUCAGGAUCUGUCCUUCCAGUGAGCACUCAGGGCUGAUUUCCUUCAGAAUGGAUAGGUUUGAUCUUCUUGCAGUCCAUGGGACUCUUAACAGUCUCCUCCAGCACCAUAAUUCAAAAGCAUCAAUUCUUCGGCGAUCAGCCUUCUUUAUGGUCCAGCUCUCACUUCCAUACAUCUAACCGCUUGUUAAUCUUCCAUCACAGCAGAUCUUCCAUCACCUGCCACGUGAGCCUUAUUUUAUUUUUAAAAUCUGGAUUUGCCACGGAUUGAACCUGGGACCUUUUUGAUGCAAAAAGCACGAGGUCUAUCCCUCCUCAAUCGCCCCCCACAACCACCUCUCAGGACAUCUCUACAGCCAACGUGUCUUCUUUUUCUCAUUGGAAACUGGUAGGGUUGUGCCGGCAGCAACAUUGCCGCUGUUUAAAUAGCGGCCGCUGGGUUUCACAACACAUUUUUGCCCAGUUGCUUUUGUUAAGUAAACAACACACUUCGUUUCACAUCGGUGGUUUUGUCAUCUCUUUCCCGAUUCUUGCCAACUCUUGCCUCUUCCUUGAUGAUGCAGGUUCGCCUUGAUUCCCAGCUUCACCCACCCCCAAUUCAAAUAUUAAACAAAAGUGUGGCUGCCAAACGAGCAAAGGUUGACCUUCUCAAAGCUGGAAGAGGGCCCUGGUCUCUAAGGCAGCGAGAGCUGUGUGGGCAUCAGCUUGAGAGAGGGGUCAAGGCCAGGUGGAAUCUACCUCCAUACUAGUUGUGUGCGUUUGAAGCAAACAGGGAUCACAUCAUGCAUUAACUAGUUUUGAAUGAGCACCUUGUUUUUAAAAAGCCGCUUCCAGGAAGAGGGUUUCUGCAAAUGUCAAGUGUGUGGAUUUGGUGCCUUCGAAGGCACACGUGCUUUCCAGCCCAACAAAUUGGUAGCAUCGUCAGGGCUGGUGCAGUUGACAAUGGCGAUUGUAAUAUGGAAUCUUGCAAGACACGGGCUUUGCCGCUGCAGCCACUGGUAGAAGCUGCCAUCUGGAUGCAACCUUGACAGUGAAAAGCAACGUGCAUAUUACCCAGCCAUCCUCCCAUUGUGCCCAUCUCCAUAAUAAUUUAUAUAAUAAUUAUUUAUUAUUUAUACCCCACCCAUCUGGCUGGGUUUCCCCAGCCACUCUGGGCGGCUUCCAACAAAACACUAAAAUACAAUAACCUAUUAAACAUUAAAAGCUUCCCUAAACAGGACUGCCUUCAGAUGUCUUCUAAAAGUUUGGUAGUUAUUUUUCUCUUUGACAUCCACAGGGCGGGUACCACUACCGAGAAGGCCCUCUGCCUGGUUCCCUGUAACUUGGCUUCUCUCAGUGAGGGAACUGCCAGAAGGCCCUCGGAGCUGGACCUCAGUGUCCGGACAGAACAAUGGAGGUGCAGACGCUCCUUCAGGUAUACUGGACUGAGGCCGUUUAGGGCUUUAAAGGUCAGCACCAACAUUUUGAAUUGUGCUCAGAAACAUACUGGGAGCCAGUGUAGGUCUUUCAAGACUGGUGUUAUAUGGUCUCGGCGGCCGCAACCAUAUAUGCUUGACAAAUGUUUUGACUGCCAAAGAGAGAGGGCAAACAAUGGGCAUAUUGGCUCCCCUCGAUUUGUUUCAUUGCAGAAUCUGUAAAGUGCAUUGCAUUCAAGGGAUACCCAAACAAGGUGUACAGAAAUAAAAUAUGGAAUGUACGUGUGAGAAUUUAUAUGUGUAAACAUUUAUAUAGGAAACCCAUUGGGCACGAUGCAUACUUACAUGGUCCCGCCCAGAAGCAUCACAAAAUCCAUUGUCUAUGGUCAGUGGCGGCCUUCUAAUGCACAUUAAGAUCGCAGGGAGGCCAAAAGAACCAAAACCAUUGACUUAGUUGUGAGAAAGAAGGAAGGCAAGGCACAGGGCAGCUGGCUGGAGGCAGAGUGAGGUUAGUGGGGCAAUGUACCAUUUGCCCAAAUGGAACAACCUCCACUAUCUACAAAACAGCUGUAGCUGUUCAGAUUCCUAGGACAGGAUUCACACCUCAGGGCUUUUACAGCAGGCGGCCUUCAAGCUACAAUACUUGCCCAAGUGAAAAGAAAGUUUGGCAAGGCCAGGCUGCUGCCCAGGAAUAAGCUGCUACAGGACAGGCCUGAAAGAGAGAACAUAAUAGAACACCGCUUGCUUGGCACUCACAUUUCCCAGAUGAAACCACUCAAAUGUAUCAGCAGUGGUCUAAUGAUCUACAGUGCACUCUACGUGGGGCUACCUUGGAAGGUGACCUGGAAACUACAACUAAUCCAGAAUGCGGCAGCUAGACUGGUGACUGGGGGUGGCUGACAGUCCUGAAAGACCUACAUUGGCUCCCUGUACGUUUCCGAGCACAAUUCAAAGUGUUGGUGUUGACCUUUAAAGCCCUAAACGGCCUCGGCCCAGUAUACCUGAAGGAGCGUCUCCACCUCCAUCGUUCUGCCCGAACACUGAGAUCCAGCGCCAAGGGCCUUCUGGUGGUUCCCUCACUGCGAGAAGCUAAGCUACAUGGAACCAGGCAGAGGGCCUUCUAGGUGGUGGCACCCGCCCUGUGGAACGCCCUCCCAUCAGAUGUCAAAGAGAUAAACAACUACCUGACAUUUAGAAGACAUCUGAAGGCAGCCCUGUUCAGGGAAAUUUUUAAUGUGUGACAUUUUAAUGUAUUUUUAAUCUUUGUUGGAAGCCGCUACCCAGAGUGGCUGAGGAAACCCAGCCAGAUGGGCAGGGUACAAAUAAUAAAUUACUAUUACUAUUACAGUGCCUUCUGCAUUACAACAUUUGCCUCCCACAGCCCUUUGAUGCUAAGCUGACAGAUAUCACCCCAAACCUAAAACAGUUGCUCACCACCAGUGACAGACCCUUCAGUAGAUAUAUGGUCAGGGGGAACAGCUCCUGUGGCAGGCCCAGAUGCCAACUUUGACAACUCAGGCUGUGUAUAUACCACACAUUUAAAGCUGUGGCUGUUCCCCAAAUAAUUCUGGGAACAGUAGAACUACAAUAAUGGGUGGAGGGGGGGAAGGGGGCAAGUGCCACUCCAACAAGACCUUUCCCCCCAUUGCUCCUCCAUUGCUUGACUCCUGUCAUUGACAUACAUUUUAUUUCAGAGAUCUUAACAUAGGAAGCAACUUGCUGAUGUAGGAAUAUGCUUUGCCCCUUUAAGGUUUAAAUAACUUUAAAGCAUCCAUCCUGGAGCAAAGGAACUUCAAAAGGAGACUGCCACAUAAAAGGAUUAAACUACAAUACCCUCAGAGUCCCAGUGCUAUCACUAGUAUACCAAACUGAGACAAAGGAUUCUUAGCUUAUUGUAUAUAUUAAUCGGCUUAUCAGUGCCGGGAUAUCUGCCAUCAGAAAUCACUGUCUGUACUUUCUUGUGUUCCAUUUCUCUCUUACCUCAUUUCUUACAAUCCCCACCUCUACCCAACCAGGCAUAUAUGCAGCUGCGAAUCCAGAUAACACUUAAUGAAUCUAUCUUAUCUAUUGUCCAUGGAAACUUAAGCCAUAAUAAAUUUGUUAGACUUCAUCAAGGUGCUGCAACAGGACUCUCUGGGCUGGUGUUUUGCAUAACCUCCCUAUUCAACUUGUUUCAGUUCUGAUUCAUAUUCCUAUAAUUCAAAGGCACUCCCUCAAUGCUAAUAUUUUUCUUUUCUUUCCUUUUGGUUUCUCCAGUUCCUCAAGCGUUCUCUUCCAAGAACCAAAGCCACAGAAGAGAAACAGAACUGAGCAGGUCUUUAGCGACAUGAAAGGAAAACAAAAAAUAAGCGAGGCAGGUCUGGAAACGAAAGGAAGUAGGCAACACUUGUCAUUAUUAUUUUUUUAGCAACUGCUACCGCAUGACAUACCCAGAUGGACUAUAAAUGUAAAUUGACUUCUAGUGCCAUUAGUAAUUGUAUGCAGGCUAUAUUCUGUGUGAUCUCUGUGUAUUUAAAAAUACAAAACACAAAGGAGGCCUGUGACACCUAAGAAACGAGAAACACAGGAAGCUGUGCAGGUGGGAG